GCCGCGGCCCUCCCGCCCCGGCGGCGCCGCGCGGUGGAUUGUGGGCUGGGGGCUGCGGCGGCCUCUGGCGCGGUCUCCCCCGACCGAGCCGGGCCGAGCGGGUCGGCGGGGAGCGGGGCAGCCGAGAGCCGGGAGCAGCCGCGCUGAGGGUGGUGGUCGCGGCGCGGCGGCGGCUCCCCUGGAGGCCGGGGAUGUGGGAGAGGCGGUGGCAGCAGCGGCGGAGGCGGCGCUGCGGACCCGGGGGAAACUGCUGGCUGACAGGACACCCGGGAGAGACGUGAGGGAGCCGCCGCGGCCGCCUCUCACCCCCGAGCGGAGUUGGGCUGCGGAGGGCGGCCCUGGGCUCCCCUGGCGGACGGGCCAGCCGGCGCGGGGCGGCGGCGGGAAGCCGGGCUCGGGCCCGGCGGGGCUCCGAGCGGCGGCGGCCGCGGAGCAGCAGUCUCGGCGCGACGAGGGCCGGCGGCGGCGGCGAUGCACUAGGCCGCGCUCGGGGCGGCUGCCCGGGACCGCAGUUGAGUGGUGAUUUUAUGCAAUGGCUUCAAGCCACAGUUCACCAGUGCCUCAAGGAAGCAGCAGUGAUGUUUUCGUUAAAAAAGAGGUAGAUCCAACAAAACACAUUCGACCUGUGCAGUCACUGCCAGAUGUGUGUCCCAAGGAACCCACAGGUGAUUCACACAGUUUAUGUGUUGCCCCAUCUCUAGUUACAGAUCAACACAAAUGGACUAUAUAUCAUUCCAAAGUAAAUCUCCCAGCAGCAUUAAAUGAUCCUAGAUUAGCAAAAAGAGAAUCUGACUUCUUCACAAAAACAUGGGGAUUGGACUUUGUGGACACUGAAGUCAUACCUUCAUUCUACCUCCCACAGAUCAGCAAGGAACAUUUUACAGUAUAUCAACAGGAAAUCUCCCAGAGAGAGAAGAUUCAUGCAAGAUGCAAGAAUAUUUGUCCUCCUAAAGAUACCUUUGACAGGACUCUCUUACAUACUCAUGAUAAAUCCAGGACAGAUCUGGAGCAAGUACCUAAGAUUUUUAUGAAACCAGAUUUUGCCUUGGACGAUUCUUUAACUUUUAAUUCAGUUUUACCAUGGUCUCAUUUUAAUACUGCUGGUGGAAAAGGAAAUCGUGAUGCAGCUUCCUCAAAGUUGCUACAAGAAAAGCUGAGCCAUUACCUGGAUAUUGUGGAAGUAAACAUUGCUCACCAGAUCUCUCUACGUUCAGAAGCAUUUUUUCAUGCAAUGACCUCUCAACACGAAUUGCAGGACUACCUCAAGAAAACUUCCCAGGCUGUAAAAAUGCUUCGAGAUAAAAUUGCACAGAUUGAUAAAGUAAUGUGUGAAGGAUCACUACACAUUUUAAGACUGGCACUUAGCAGAAAUAAUUGUGUUAAAGUGUACAAUAAACUGAAGUUAAUGGCCACUGUACACCAGACUCAACCUACAGUACAGGUGUUGUUAUCUGCUUCUGAAUUUGUUGGAGCAUUGGACUUAAUAGCAACAACACAAGAGGUUUUACAGCAGGAACUUCAGGGCAUUCACAGCUUCCGGCAUUUGGGAUCACAGCUUUGUGAAUUAGAAAAACUGAUAGAUAAAAUGAUGAUUGCAGAAUUUUCUACUUAUUGUCACAGUGACUUAAAUAGACCACUGGAAGAUGACUGUCAAAUUUUAGAAGAGGAAAGACUAGUAUCUCUUGUAUUUGGACUUUUAAAACAAAGAAAACUUAAUUUUUUAGAAAUCUAUAGUGAAGAAAUGAUUAUUACGGCAAAGAAUAUCAUUAAACAGUGUGUGAUUAAUAAAGUUUCACAAAUAGAAGAACUAGACACAGAUGCUGUUACGAAGCUCGCAGAUCAGAUGAGAAUGUUGAAUUUUCCUCAGUGGUUUGAUCUGCUAAAGGAUAUUUUCUUUAAGUUUACAGUUUUCCUACAGAGAGUUAAGGCAACGUUAAAUAUCAUUCACAAUGUUGUUCUCUCAGUUCUUGACAAAAACCAAAGAACUAGAGAAAUGGAGGAUAUUUUGCAACAGAAGAAUGCUGCAAAGGAUAAUUCACUGGACACAGAGGUGGCAUAUUUAAUCCACGAAGACAUAUUUAUAAGUGAUGCAUUCAGUGAGAGUGAAUUAACACCUAUAACAAGUGACACUACCUCUCAAAGAAAUGCAUCUCCAAAUAGUGAGCCCUGCAGCAGUGAUUCAGUAUCUGAACCAGAAUGUACUACUGAUUCUUCAUCCAGCAAAGAGCAGACAUCAUCAUCAGCUAUUCCAGGAGGUGUGGACAUUAUGGUGAAUGAAGACAUGAAAUUAACUGACUUAGAACUAGGAAAGCUGGCUAAUAAUAUCCAGGAGUUACUGUAUAGUGCCUCAGACAUAUGCCAUGAUCGAGCUGUCAAAUUUCUCAUGUCAAGAGCAAAGGAUGGUUUUCUUGAGAAGCUGAAUUCCACGGAAUUCAUAACACUUUCUAGGUUAAUGGAAACAUUCAUUUUAGACACUGAACAGAUCUGUGGAAGAAAAAGCAUGUCAUUACUUGGAACACUUCAGAGCCAAGCUAAUAAAUUUGUAAAUAGGUUUCAUGAAGAGAGAAAAACCAAGCUCAGCCUCCUUUUAGACAAUGAGCGCUGGAAACAAGCUGAUGUUCCUGCAGAAUUUCAGGAUCUUGUUGAUUCUCUAUCAGAUGGAAAGAUUGCUUUACCUGAAAAAAAGUCAGGGGCUAAAGAAGAAAGGAAACCAGCUGAAGUUCUCAUUGUUGAGGGACAACAGUAUGCUGUUGUUGGAACUGUAUUGUUGUUGAUAAGAAUUAUCCUUGAAUAUUGCCAGUGUGUGGAUAAUAUCCCAUCUGUUACUACUGACAUGCUUACUCGUCUGUCAGAUUUAUUGAAGUACUUCAAUUCAAGAAGUUGUCAGUUAGUUCUGGGAGCUGGUGCACUGCAAGUUGUUGGACUAAAAACAAUAACUACAAAAAAUUUGGCCCUCUCUUCACGCUGUUUGCAGUUAAUUGUGCACUACAUUCCUGUGAUCCGGGCUCAUUUUGAAGCCCGGCUGCAGCCUAAGCAAUAUAGCAUGCUUAGGCAUUUUGAUCAUAUCACUAAGGAUUACCAUGACCACAUAGCUGAAAUAUCAGCUAAGCUUGUAGCGAUAAUGGAUAGCUUAUUUGACAAGCUGUUAUCUAAGUAUGAGGUGAAAGCUCCUGUUCCUUCUCCCUGUUUCAGGAAUAUUUGUAAGCAAAUGACAAAAAUGCAUGAAGCUAUAAUUGACCUCCUUCCAGAAGAGCAAACACAAAUGCUAUUUUUAAGAAUUAAUGCAAGUUACAAACUCCACUUGAAAAAGCAGUUGUCUCAUUUAAAUGUGAUAAAUGAUGGAGGACCUCAAAAUGGGUUGGUCACAGCAGAUGUAGCUUUUUACACUGGAAAUCUUCAAGCCUUAAAAGGCCUUAAAGAUUUGGACCUAAAUAUGGCUGAGAUCUGGGAACAGAAGAGGUGAUGACAUACUGGAAAACUGGGUAGCCUGACCAUAGGAUGUAUGUGUUUAAGAAAAUAUGGAUGCCUGUGAUUCAAGAACUGAACCUGGAACCCAAGUGAACUGGGAUCUUUCUAUAAAAAAAUAAACAUCUUUUGAUUGCUUGGAUUUAGGAAUUCAGUCUUUUUUCAGUGACCAGUGUCAAGGUUUAGGCUUUGUGUGCUGCAUAUUGAAUCCUUCUACAACCACUGGGUGAAGCCUCCAGAACAGUCUAAAUACUUGAAAGGAUGAUCACAAGUAAUAAAGAAUAAGGUAUUAGUGUUCAUUUAUGAGCUAAUUUAAAUACUUUUCAGAAGUGAUAUAUGAAAGCCUGCAGUUUAAUAGUUGUAUUUUUAUAAAAAAUAUGAAGGGUUUUUUUGCCUUUUUUAUUUCUAGCAGAGGUAAGAAUACAUUUUUAUAUAUUCUGCCUACUUAUGAGUUUUCAUUUUAACAUGUAACAUAUGCGGUGUGGCUCCCUUGGGUUCUUGUUUUUAAGUUACUUUCGAUGUGUAUAUGAACAAAGACCAGGGAGAAACAGAAAAUAUAAGCUGCUGUGUUGGGGCCAGAAAUACAAGGUGAUGAGUAAGUUAUUUAAAGACUUUUUUUUUUUAAUCCUCACCUGAGGAUGUUCAUUGAUUUUAAAGAGAGAAAGGGAAAGAAAAAGUAUGUGUGUGUGUGGAGUGGGGAGGGAGACAUAAAUUGGUUGCUUUUCAUUCACGCCCCAACCGGGUACUGAACCUGCAAUCUAGAUAUGUGCCCUGUCCGGGAAUUGGACCCACAACCUUUCGGUGUAUGGGAUGAUGCUCCAACCAACUGAGCCACACCGGCCAGGGUAAACCUUAUAAGUUACCUUCAAAAUAGAAUCAGCAGCAUGCUACAAAUGAAAGUGCCUGUGUCUCACCUCACACCAGGAAUCUUGCCUAACCCUAUCAGAGUGCCUAACUUUGUAGUGAUUAUGUACAAUGAAAUAGCCUUAUUUUGUGCUCUUUGAUCUCCUAAAAGGAAAGCCUGUUUUCUUUCCUUUAUCAUUACAGAGGUAUGUCAUUGGUUCUUAACUGUCUGUCUAAAAUAAAGCUGUAAACAAUUA